AUCAUACACAUGACAACUACUCA
rnacentral:snRNA from 1 species